GAUGAACGCUGGCGGCGUGCCUAAUACAUGCAAGUCGAGCGAACAGAUGAGGAGCUUGCUCCUCUGACGUUAGCGGCGGACGGGUGAGUAACACGUGGAUAACCUACCUAUAAGACUGGGAUAACUUCGGGAAACCGGAGCUAAUACCGGAUAAUAUAUUGAACCGCAUGGUUCAAUAGUGAAAGACGGUUUUGCUGUCACUUAUAGAUGGAUCCGCGCCGCAUUAGCUAGUUGGUAAGGUAACGGCUUACCAAGGCAACGAUGCGUAGCCGACCUGAGAGGGUGAUCGGCCACACUGGAACUGAGACACGGUCCAGACUCCUACGGGAGGCAGCAGUAGGGGAUCUUCCGCAAUGGGCGAAAGCCUGACGGAGCAACGCCGCGUGAGUGAUGAAGGUCUUCGGAUCGUAAAACUCUGUUAUUAGGGAAGAACAAAUGUGUAAGUAACUAUGCACGUCUUGACGGUACCUAAUCAGAAAGCCACGGCUAACUACGUG
rnacentral:rRNA from 1 species